UACGUAGGGUGCAAGCGUUGUCCGGAAUCAUUGGGCGUAAAGAGCGUGUAGGCGGCUCGGUAAGCCCGCUGUGAAAGUCCAGGGCUCAACCCUGGAAAGCCGGUGGAAACUGUCGAGCUCGAGUCCGGAAGAGGCGAGUGGAAUUCCUGGUGUAGCGGUGAAAUGCGCAGAUAUCAGGAGGAACACCAAUGGCGAAGGCAGCUCGCUGGGACGGUACUGACGCUGAGACGCGAAAGCGUGGGGAGCAAACAGG
rnacentral:rRNA from 1 species